UACGUAGGGGGCAAGCGUUGUCCGGAUUUAUUGGGCGUAAAGAGCUCGUAGGCGGCUGUCCACGUCGGAUGUGAAAGCUUAGGGCUCAACCCUGAGAGGCCAUUCGAUACGGGACGGCUAGAGGUAGGUAGGGGAAAGUGGAAUUCCUGGUGUAGCGGUGAAAUGCGCAGAUAUCAGGAGGAACACCGGUGGCGAAGGCGGCUUUCUGGGCCUUACCUGACGCUGAGGAGCGAAAGCUGGGGGAGCGAACAGG
rnacentral:rRNA from 1 species